rnacentral:rRNA from 1 species
UACCUACGGGGGGCAGCAGUGGGGGAUAUUGCACAAUGGGGGAAACCCUGAACCAGCAACGCCGCGUGAGGGAAGACGGUUUUCGGAUUGUAAACCUCUGUCCUCUGUGAAGAUGAUGACGGUAGCAGAGGAGGAAGCUCCGGCUAACUACGUGCCAGCAGCCGCGGUAAUACGUAGGGAGCAAGCGUUGUCCGGAUUUACUGGGUGUAAAGGGUGCGUAGGCGGCUUUGCAAGUCAGAAGUGAAAUCCAUGGGCUUAACCCAUGAACUGCUUUUGAAACUGCAGAGCUUGAGUGGAGUAGAGGU